CCACCCUCCAGCCUGGUGAAAUGAGCCCUCGCCUCCACCAACAGCCCACCUCUGUUUUUAUUACAAGGAAAACUGGCUCUUCUGCUAAUCAGUGACAGCGCCCCCUGCCUGUGUUUGGACACCAGUUCCUCAGUCAGGUGAUGGCUAACACCCCCACCCUCUGGUAAAACCCCCGUGGUGCUCUCAGGCCUGACUGUCUGUCUAUUGAUUGGUCUUGGAGGUCUGUAAAUGAAAUGCCAGCACAGCUGACGGUCCGACCAUCGAGCUGCCAACGCUGCUGUCACUCACAGUGAUCUCCCCCUGCUGGACAACAAAAGCUCUGCUGCUGCCGCCACAAAGAGCGGGCGACAGCAGCCGUGAAGGACAAACAGCCUCUUCUUCUGACGUCCAUCUUCAUUACUGUCACUUCCUGCACUUAAUCUUUUCCACAUCCUGGCUGCACAUUCAACUUUCCUGGCUCCGCCUUUAUCUCCUAACAGACUAAAAAUUCCAGACCAAACCAUCCAGGUCUGGGAAAAUCCCUGAGUCCGGAAAAGUCUGAACCGUCUGUGGUUUAACUACAGUCAAGUUUUCAACGUCUGUCUCUGAUUGAAGUAUGAUUCUUCUAUAAGGAAAUAUUUAGUGACACGGGAGCUGCUGGUUCACUACUGCCCCCUACGGUGAGUUUGUGUGAAACAAUUAGAAUUUUCACAAACUAUCAAACCCUGGUUCAGAUCCGUUGGUUUGCAGCCACAGUCUGGAAUAACAACCAUACUCCUUUCAUCUGCUUUUGAACUUUUAUCAAAGGCUAACAACUGCAGCCAGACUGUCAGAAUCUUGAACGGCUCAGCGUCUGCGUUUCAGGUUGCUGUGACUUCAUCUCUGUAAACAUCUUCACACACACUCGCUGAACUGCACUUUAUUAAUUAAAUGGUACAACUGUUAAAAUGAAUGGAGGAGAGUUCUCUGUCAGGCUCUGGACCUGAGCAAUUUGUUAGGUUCACCGGCUGGACAGCAGCGCCCCCACUGGACUGCAUCCAGCAGCAGCAGCAGCAGUGUGGCCUAUCAGCUGAGGACAAAGCAGCAGAACUGUUCAGGUCAAUAUGGAUCAGAAUCAGGGACUAAACUAAGCGUCCAGGGUCCGGGGAAAGUUUGGCAGCGUCAUUCUUGAGACGGUGCCAGACCAAUUAGAAGAGUCACCGCUGCGUCGAAGCUUUGGAGUCUCGACGACCUACGAGGCUCGGAGCGGCGAUUUAUAUCCAGUGAGCAGUAGGAGGAGAAAGAGGAGGAAGAGGAGACGCUCAGGAGUUGCUGAUUCUCCAUUUACAUUUAAUGGCAGAGUGACUGAGGCCGCGGGAGCGAGACCAAGACCCAGACCAGGACCGAGGCGGAGUAAGGUUACAGCUGCAGAUCUAACCAGCAGAGGAAGCACUGAGUGGGUUUUUAAUCUCAUAAUUACAAGGUGAAACUUCAUCUUGGAAGUCUAUGAUAUUUGAAUCGCUGCCAAAACAAAGUGACAAGUUGUCAAACACAAGUGUUUCACACGAGGGCUUUAGAAACUGGCACACCACCAGAUCUGAUGUCACUCUGAGCGCCCCCUGCUGUUAGAGCCAAGGUCAGACAGACAGGCUGACUCUCAGUGGAAAAGUGAAAAUAAGAACAGAAUAUCCAUUCUAAUAAUACAGUGAUUAUAAUGACAAUAGGAUUCUUUUUUUAUCUUGUCCAUCUUUCUUCUGAGUGUUACCUACAGUCAAAGCUGUACCCACAGUGGAUGUCAGCAUAUCACUUUAAAUACAACAAGUCUUUAUACCAGUGUUUCUGUUUUAUUUUGAUAAAACUAUUACAUUUUAAUCUCAGAGAAUAAUCCCAUGGUUUUUGUGAUGAAUCUUGAAUAAAUUGUCUUCUAUUGUCCCUUGGAUAGAACCAGAUUACACACUGGACAGAGUCAAAUAUUAAUAUUCAAUAUUUCAUAUUAUUAGUAAAGU